rnacentral:rRNA from 1 species
UACGAAGGGGGCUAGCGUUGUUCGGAAUUACUGGGCGUAAAGCGUAUGCAGGCGGUCUUUUAAGUCGGGGGUGAAAUCCCGAGGCUCAACCUCGGAACUGCCUUCGAUACUGGAAGUCUUGAGUCCGGGAGAGGUGAGUGGAACUCCGAGUGUAGAGGUGAAAUUCGUAGAUAUUCGGAAGAACACCAGUGGCGAAGGCGGCUCACUGGUCCGGUACUGACGCUGAGGUGCGAAAGCGUGGGGAGCAAACAGG